GACGAACGCUGGCGGCGUGCUUAACACAUGCAAGUCGAACGGUAAGGCUCCAGCUUGCUGGGGUACACGAGUGGCGAACGGGUGAGUAACACGUGGGUGACCUGCCCUGCACUUCGGGAUAAGCCUGGGAAACUGGGUCUAAUACCGGAUAGGACCGCACCGUGAGGGUGUGGUGGAAAGUUUUUUCGGUGUGGGAUGGGCCCGCGGCCUAUCAGCUUGUUGGUGGGGUAAUGGCCUACCAAGGCGGCGACGGGUAGCCGGCCUGAGAGGGUGGACGGCCACAUUGGGACUGAGACACGGCCCAGACUCCUACGGGAGGCAGCAGUGGGGAAUAUUGCACAAUGGGCGGAAGCCUGAUGCAGCGACGCCGCGUGGGGGAUGACGGCCUUCGGGUUGUAAACUCCUUUCACCAUCGACGAAGGGUUUCUGACGGUAGAUGGAGAAGAAGCACCGGCUAACUACGUGCCAGCAGCCGCGGUAAUACGUAGGGUGCGAGCGUUGUCCGGAAUUACUGGGCGUAAAGAGCUCGUAGGUGGUUUGUCGCGUCGUCUGUGAAAUUCCGGGGCUUAACUCCGGGCGUGCAGGCGAUACGAGCAUAACUUGAGUACUGUAGGGGAGACUGGAAUUCCUGGUGUAGCGGUGAAAUGCGCAGAUAUCAGGAGGAACACCGGUGGCGAAGGCGGGUCUCUGGGCAGUAACUGACGCUGAGGAGCGAAAGCAUGGGGAGCGAACAGGAUUAGAUACCCUGGUAGUCCAUGCCGUAAACGGUGGGCGCUAGGUGUGGGUUUCCUUCCACGGGAUCCGUGCCGUAGCUAACGCAUUAAGCGCCCCGCCUGGGGAGUACGGCCGCAAGGCUAAAACUCAAAGGAAUUGACGGGGGCCCGCACAAGCGGCGGAGCAUGUGGAUUAAUUCGAUGCAACGCGAAGAACCUUACCUGGGCUUGACAUAUACAGGAUCGCGCCAGAGAUGGUGUUUCCCUUGUGGCUUGUAUACAGGUGGUGCAUGGUUGUCGUCAGCUCGUGUCGUGAGAUGUUGGGUUAAGUCCCGCAACGAGCGCAACCCUUGUCUUAUGUUGCCAGCACGUUGUGGUGGGGACUCGUAAGAAACUGCCGGGGUUAACUCGGGGGAAGGUGGGGAUGACGUCAAAUCAUCAUGCCCCUUAUGUCCAGGGCUUCACACAUGCUACAAUGGUCGGUACAGUGGGUUGCCAGUCCGUGAGGGCGAGCUAAUCCCCGCAAGCCGGUCUCAGUUUCGAUCGGGGUCUGCAACUCGACCCCGUGAAGUCGGAAUCGCUAGUAAUCGCAAAUCAGCGCAUUGGGCGGUGAAUACUUUCCCCGGCCU
rnacentral:rRNA from 1 species